CUCUUGCUGCAGGAGGGACAAGAGGAGUGAGCCCUAGCUCUAAGCUUAAGUCAGCCCAAAGGCAGCACCUUCGGAGGUGGGAGGCCUGCCUGCUGGCUGUCCCCGGGAGGUGCAGAUCUGGAGCCAGUGCUGGUGACUCACUCCCACUCUGCGCAGUUUCCCAGAAGGCAGCUCAGGCAUGCAAGUCAGGUGCAGAGACGCAAAGGCUCCUUGACAUUCUCUUUGGGGCUGAGCUCAUCAGCCAGGACCAGCAGGUCGGUCACCAGGGCAUCCAGCAGCCCAUAGACCUGGAAGGAUGGGAUGAACAUCACAGGCAAAGGUUCACUCUCUGGAAAGCACCUGCACAAGGGAGCAACCCCCAUGCUGCGAGAUGGAUGGACACAUCUACACAAGAGGGACAGCUGGAGCGGGGAGACAACUAAAGUUGUGUAGAUAAAACUAAA